rnacentral:rRNA from 1 species
UACAGAGGGUGCAAGCGUUGUUCGGAUUCAUUGGGCGUAAAGGGUGUGUAGGUGGCGCCGUAAGUCGGGUGUGAAAUCUCGGGGCUUAACUCCGAAACUGCAUUCGAUACUGCGGUGCUUGAGGACUGGAGAGGAGACUGGAAUUCAUGGUGUAGCAGUGAAAUGCGUAGAGAUCAUGAGGAAGACCAGUGGCGAAGGCGGGUCUCUGGACAGAUCCUGACACUGAGGCACGAAGGCCAGGGGAGCAAACGGG